AAAUUGAAGAGUUUGAUCAUGGCUCAGAUUGAACGCUGGCGGCAGGCCUAACACAUGCAAGUCGAACGGUAACAGGAAGAAGCUUACUUCUU
rnacentral:rRNA from 1 species